AUGGAAGGGGACGACGAGACCUCGGCGGUGGAGGCAGUGCUGGGGCUGAGCCCUCAGAUCUUCAUCAACGAGGUCCUCAACAUGGUUGACGACAUCCGCUUCCAGGCCUUCGAGUACUGCCUCCAGGAAGGUGCCCCUGCGGCCGUCAGCACCGCCACGGCGACCAAUCAGGCUGAGGAGCUAAAACGGGGAGUAAAUGCAAUUUGCAACUUGGUAACGGAUGUAUUGAACAAAAGAAUGAGCAAUUGGGAGAUGUAUUGCCUUCGGAAAUGUUUAACUGUACCUGAAGGAUUUGUGGCACCUGAAGAUGAUAAUUCUUCUGCAACGGUGUUGCAUAAAGAUGGGAAUUCUGAUUCGGAACUGGAUGCAGAACUUAAUUUUUUGAGAAAAAAACUGGCAGACGCUAACACGGAAUCUGAAGAACUUAGAAGAGAAAGUACUUCCUUGGAAAGGCAAGCUACAUACAAAAGUAACCUUAAUUCCUCUAUAACUGAAGUACUGAAGUUGUAUGAAGACAAAUCUGUUAAGGAGAAUAUUCAAGGUAUUGUGAAGGCAAUACCGAAGUUGCACCAGAAAAUGAAGGUUAUGAGAAGGAAAAAGGUUGAGGUUGAGGCCAUGGUGGGUCAAAAUGUUUGGAACGUCGAUUGUCUUAGAGACCAGAAGCGUUUAGCACUGGGUAGGUAA
rnacentral:rRNA from 1 species